CCUGCAGCAGGAGCUCAGUACCACUCGGCAAUCCCAUCCGCCACACGCAACGUGGCAGCGACCGAGCCCCGCGCCCGACUUCCGUUUCCGGUGCUGAGCCGGUACCAUUGACUCUCCGGUUGCCCGGGAGACCCUCGGAAGCUAACAAUGCGAGGGGUCUGUUCCCUUUCUCUUCUAUUCUCGCCUAAGCUCCAGCUCUGCCUGACCCAGCGGCCAGCAGCCUGUCGGGUACAGCAGAAGCUCCCAAGUAGCUGAGAAGUUCGUGGAAUCUUCCUAUUGAUAAGGAUCCUGAGGUUUAAGGAAGCAAGUUGCUCAAAGGCACGUGGCAGAACUGUGACCCGAACCCAGACCUGUCUAACUCAAAAGUGUGCUAUUUCCACGACACCAAGCUUGCUCCCCUCCUAUGGGCCAAGCGCUGUAGUCAACGCUGAGGAUACUGAAGCGUUAAGACUCGUGUUCAGGAAGAGCUCGUACUCCAGCAGAGGAGGCCUUCGGAAGAAGCGCAGAAGGCCCGGGGAAGGACCGUUACUGAUUUUCCCUUCCCCCAAUCAGAAACUUUUUGAAAAGCCUCUGAGGAGAGUCAGGACGCCUGAAAGGAGCACAUCGAGGCAGCAUCGCAUGGCAGUUUGGCGCGGGGACUCUGGGAGUUGGCAGGUGCCUGACACCCUGCGUGAGAACCCCCUGCUCCGGCUGAGCCUGCCUUGUCUCCAUCAGGUAGGCACCCCACGGCCUCUCUGAGCGCUCAAUGGAUUAGAUCCUUGAUAAGGAUGCAAAUGCCCCAGAAAGGAUGCUCCAUUCAAUGCAUAGUCAGUGCUUGACAGAGCCAUGGAACAGAGAGCUCCUCUCUUCCAUCCACCCACGCGUUCUACAGAUGGACCCUGAGGCCCAGUGGCUUAGCCAAAGCCACACAGUGAAUGAGUUUCAGAGCCAAGUCUCACACCUAGGUCUUCUAGCUUAGAAUUCAGUGCUUAUCCAUUAGACCAAUGGACUGCAUUGCCCUCAAUGGUGAUGGCAGCCACUGGCCAGGGUGGUGGCGGGGGCACCUGAACUCAGUCUCCACGUGGGCGGUGGACCUGUGUGAUUCACCAAAGGGACGGCCUGAUGAGGGAGAAGGACUGAGUUAGGCCCUGGGGCAGGGCUGUGGUGGGCAGGAUCUGGGGGGUGGGGGAGACGGGGUUGGAGACUGAAAUCUAGGGAGAUUGUCAUGGAAAUCAGCAAUUGUAAGGCAGGUGAAAAUGCAGCUGUAUACUAGCCCGGCAAUGUGCUACAGAACGCAGCAAUUAACUUCUCUACUCAUGGGAGAUGGGGUCCAGGAGGGCUUUGGGGAAGAAGCGGCCUGUGACUUGGGUCUGAAGAAGCAGGAGGAGGAUGUUCAGGGGCUGUCGGGGGCCAGGCGUUCUGCAUUGAGGGAGCAGCAUGGACAGAGGCAGGGAGGCCGGACAGCCUGGGCUGUACGUGGGGAAUAGCACAGCGGGCAGCAAGGGAACCUGGAGAAAAGCAGAGGAACCUGAAUUGAAGUUCUAACUCUGCAGCUAGUCUGACCAGCUCAGGAUCUGGACAAGUCACUUUAUCUUUCUGGAUCUUAGUUUCCUUAUAUGUGAAACUGGCAUAACGAUAUUAUCUGUCUCCUGAGCGUUAUAGUGAGGAUGAACCAAAACAGUAAGGCACCAAAUAUAGGGCCUGGCACAUAGUAGGUGCUCAACAAAAGGCCCAGUAUGGCCGGAGGGUAGGUCCUGUUGGAACACAGGGACAAGCAGGGGUUUGGGCGAUGCUGUAUGUUUUCUUUUGCCUUCCGAUGGGCCCUUUCCCCUCCUUCCAGGGGCUCCCUAGCUGGCCUGGGAGGGCUGCUUACCCACUUAGAGUUGCCAGGAUGUUUGGCCAUCCUCGGGUCCAGAACGAUCUUCUGGUUCCGUCAUCAUCCUUAAGCUCUUUCCAGCCUGAACACAACUGGGGCUAGCGUUCCAGGUCUGGUCAUGUUUGCUGGCAGAGCCCGUGUUUGGGAGCGACAGCUCUGUUUAGGUAGAAACAGACACUGAAAACAGCUGCUGGUUCUCUGCCUUGGUAAACACGGAGUAAACCCUGCCACUCCGGGCUUUGCAAGGGAUCAGGGAGCACAAGGCAGGCCCUACUCACAGGCGUCCUGUGGGGUAGGGAAAAGCCAUCUUUUCAGCAAGUGUGCCAGCCUCCUCAGGCUGGGGCCAGGUUUAGGGGUGGCGGUGGGAGGAGUUAGAGGCUCUUCCUCCCCUCUUGGCCUCUGGGUGUCAGAGGACUCUCCAGGCACUUUCUGCCAUCUAAAAUCUGUGGGACUUCAGGUCAAGUUUUCAACCUCUCUGGAUGGGCCAGUCAGCAAAGGCAAUUCCUGGCAUGUCCCUGUAUGCUGUUCCUCUUUAGUGAGUGGUGGCCAAACUUACCAAUGCAUCAGAAUGACCUGGGUGAGGCUAACUAAA